AUCUCCAGCACAGCACUGCCUCCUGGUGCGGAUUAUAUUCCAGUUUUCAAAAGGAACCAUAGAAGAUACAAGCAAUACGAUUUUAUUUUGGAGGGAUUUCUAGCAUCAUAGGUCAAAGACGUUAUUAAGUAUCGACUCUGAAAAAGCAACUAUAAAUACUGCAAAUCGACUAAGCCAGAGGACGCAAAUAUAUCCUGCGUGUUGUGUGCUGGACUGUGGUUGAGACUUCAUGGUCGUGCUCUGGGCUCAUGGGGGCAGCUGACUGCUCAUAAUUAAGAUUGCUGUUGCCGCUGCCUGUGUUCCAAAGAGAACACAAGAGGACAGAGCUAAGGUGUAGGAAUGCGGAAGAACUUGCAGAAACUAGAGCUAGUCUUCGGAUUGAAAUGAAUUACCAAUAAAGGGUUGGGAAAUGGAUCAAGGAGAGGGAAGCGUUUUGAUGGUCCCUGCUCCGAGGUUCAGCCCAUUUGCAGUUGCUGAUAACCUUGUCAGGUCACCAGAUAAAGGCAAGUCUUGUCACCCUCAGGCACCUGGCUGCGAAGUAAUAAAACGGUUGCCUUAUCAUCUAAAGGUGGAGUGAGUCAAACCUCAGCCCAGGGUAAUUAUAGUAAACUGAAAUUGCCUGUCCUUUACAAAAAAAAAGGCGGAGGGAGAGAGAAAGGAAAAGGGCUUAAGGCAGGAAAUUGUGUUUGUCUUUCUCCUUGGAUUUAAAAAAGAAACGAGCAAAACAGCAAAAAGUUUUCCAGGGAGUGAGAAAAGCAGCCCGGCUAGACUCCCCUCACCCUGGGUUAACAGGAUUGCCGACAGAUCAGGCCCACGUGAUGGUCAAGAAAAGAGGCUCAAGCUGAUGAAAAUCCAAGAAAUCUUCUUAGGAGCCUUCCUUUCUAAAUGUAAAUGACUGAGUCAUUGCUUUGCUAAGGAGGGAAGGAAGUUACAAUCACACCAAGUGACUCAUUCAUUGCUGUUAGCUCCGGCAGUUGGAUGAAAAGUUUUAGCAAAAGCAGCAACAAAUGUACUUUAAAUACUAGCACAGUAAGGGAAUUCCUGUCUUUCAGGAUGAAUGCCAUCCACACAAAAGAGCUCCUGUUGACAUCUCAUUUACAAUCUCCCCCAGGACACAGACAAGACCCUUUCAAUAAAUCCAGCUCAGAAACACCUAUUGUUCAAAAUCUUCAACUCGCCACAGGCUACCACCACUCCCUAUGGCUUUGCAAAAUUAAAGAUUUAGAAGAAGGAUGGGGCGGUGGAAGCUAUGAAAAGAGGCAGGAAAAAAGUUCCUUUGACCCGAUGCUGUCAGAGAGCGUGCAUGAAGAAGAAAGUUAAUGGUAUUUCCAUUUAUAUAAGAAGCGCCUAAGAAAUGCCUGUGACGUUCGUGAACUAGUGAUUGUGAAUUCCAAAUUUGAUGCCAACUUUAUGUGUAAAGAAGCUAACUCCUGCCAACAUCGUGGCUGAAUGAACAGCUGGGACUAUGCUUAACCCAUUCCCAGCUUAUAAAAGCCCCAUGGCAGCUGCAGUGAAGCAUCAGGUGAGUCUGAUAUGGGCUGUCUGUUCCCUCGGGGAUUUGAAUCUUGCCUGUCCUUUCCAAGUGGAGUCUUGUGCCUAAGUGCUAGAGCCCACUCCUUCCUCCCCACUGAUUCCCUUCUUUCCAUUUCUGCCAUUUCCCUUCUUCUUUUAAUAAAACUUGGACAUUUUCUG
rnacentral:lncRNA from 1 species